CAUUUGGCAGGCAGGACACCGCAAACGAGAAAAGCAAACAGCCAGCAAUCUGCAAGCGCCAUAAAUAUGUUACAAUCUCAGCUGGAAGAUGGGCAAUAUAUGCACCAAGAGGCCUUUGUUUAAUGAGCUGUCAGAAAGCAGGCACAAAAUUAUGCUUGAAAACACAGGGAAGCUGCAGAGAACAGAGGCCUGGAAGGGCUCCCUUUGCCGGCGAUGUGAAUGUGCUGGAGUAUCUUAUCAGUCUGAGAAUUGUCAAGUGAGGUAGGCUAUCAUUAGUAAUCUAAUAGCCUUUGGAAAGGGACCGAUUUUUCCACCCCAGCUCCAUUUUGUAACCUAAAAUGAAUGAUGGGCAAAGCCAGGCCCUUAUUUCUCCCCACAGGUUUUGCGAUCGGGGGGCAGGGGGGGCAGGUUUGCUACCUAAACUGGAAGCAAAUGAGACAAGUCAUAAAAAGCAUAAAACACUAAAUCGGAAAUUAAGCUGAUGAGUUCCAAUCCUAGAGCGCUCCUCUUCCUAUUAUCCUAAUGGACUCUUCCAGUGACUUGGUAAUUUUCAAUCAUGCCCAUAACAAAGGUGCUACCCAUAGGAGGAGAACGCGGAGACGUGAGCGCCUUUGUAAUGGAGUGUGCAACACGCGGGUUGUAGAUGUCUGUACAACCAUGCAGGCUAAGCGAUUGUGGGAUUAUAAUGCAAGGACCAGGGUCACCAUAGGGAGUAUGAUGUGAUGUACAGGACAAUGAGCCUUCAACAGCAAGGCAGCCAUGCAGCACAAAUUGCCAAAGACAUUCCACAAAAUGAGACAAAAGGUGUUCCAGUUUUUGUCAUUUAAAGGGGCUACGGAGAGGGAGGCUAUUUCCCCCACCCCCUUCUAGUUUCUUUCGUGUGAUUUCUGAUGUUUGAUUUGUACGCUGGUUUACAUGGAAUAACUCAUCAGUCCUGCUUUUCAGGAAUUUUCUUGGGGAAAGUUGGCAUCUUAUCCCUGCCUUCCCAACCUGGCAGGAUGCUGCCAUCAAAGAGAAUGGCUGACAGGUCUGUGACAAUUGUAUCUCUCCUGGGAUCAGGAAUAGUCAUUGUAAAAAUGGAGCCUGACACCUUAAAUGAUCAAAUAUAAGAAGCUGCACAUUUUCUCUCUUUGGUCUUUAUUUUUUUGUAAAUAAAGUUUAUUCUAGAAAGUAUAUGCACAAUCAAUAUACCAUCCUUUACAAAAACACAAAAUAAGAAUUCCACUGCUGUGACUUCCCUCCACCUCAACUUGACAUCUUUUGAUAUUCUAUACUCUUAUUUACAUUGUGUUUUUUAUAUUAUUUGAUAUUCAGCUAUUAUUAAUUAUGUCGUGAUCCAGUUCAGCUUUACAUACUUCAUCUAUACAUAUCAACAGAUUUUCUUUGGAACAGUGUUUUCUCAUAUAAUCCUCAAAACAUUGCCAUUCCUUCCUUAAUUUCUGGUUUGACUGGUGCCUUAUGGCUGCCGUUAAUUUAGCCAAUUCUAUAAAUUCACAUAGUUUACCUAACCAAUCUUCUUUAGUGGGGAUGAUGCCCCAUUUCCAGUUUUUAGCAAGUAAUAAUUUGGCUGUGGCAUAUAAAAAUAGCCUUUCCUUAUCUUUGGUCUUUAUUUGUAUUAGGCUAUUUGGAAAGUUACCUAAGACAAAAGCCACUUGUGCAAUGAGGAUUUCCCGAUUCCCUCCAUUACAUGCUUCCUUUACAACAGUGUGUUCUCCCCACCCACAUAAUUUUUUGAAUUUUUCUGUGUAGAAACAUUUUUGUUUCAUAUAAAAUGUGUUUAUCCCACACGUUGGUUGAAAGGCCGUCACAGUGGCUCACAACUCAGAGGGAAACAAUCGACAAUAUGCGUUCAGUAAUGGGAGGGAAGAGAAAAGGGGCAGGGUCACAAAAUACAGCAGACAUAUAAAACAAAGGGGAGGAGGACUUAAGCAAAUCUUAAUCUUAACAGCCUAUCUUAAUACCAAUUAUAAGGGUCCGAGUGCGCCUCUCUUGGGGGAACCCUCUUGGUAGUUCCACUUCCCUCAGAAGUUUUGGGGUGGCAGCCUGUGAGGGAGAAGGCAUUCUCUGUGGCAGCUCUGAAAUUGUUGAAUUUCUUUCCCACAGAGGUGUGUCUGGCUUGUUCACUAGUGUUUUCAGUGUUUUAAUUCCUUUUAAUUAAAACUAGUGUUUUAAUUCCAAAUUUUAAAUUGUUUUAACCUGCCCUGGUACCAGCUGGUGAUUGGAUAAUAAUAAUAAUAAUAAUAAUAAUAAUAAUAAUAAUAUGAUACCUAGCUAUAUAUUUGCUCACAAUGAAAACCAGUGCUUUUUUUCUUUAAAAAAAUGUUUAGGGGUACUCUCAUUUUCCUACUCAUAUUGAAAUAUUGUCCCUCAAUGAGGCCAAACUUAGAUUCACAAAAUAUUUAGGGGUAUGUGUACCCCUGCGUCCACCCAGGGGAAAAAAGCCCUGAUGAAGACAAUGCAGUGUCUGUUUCUAUUCUUUUUCUAGGUCAGCUGAUGUAAGUGCCAGCAACUCAAGGGCUAUGAAUAAGAAAUCGGAAGCCCUUGAUUUGACCUGUGGGCUUGAAGAUUUUGCGAGACUCAGCCGCCUCAGAGAGUGGAGGGUUGUACACCUGGGACCUUGCUGUUUGAAUGAUUCCUUUCAACAUUUCCAUAAAGAGAGAGAAAGCAGCGAGCAAAUGGUAUAUUUUGUGUGACAGUUAGCAAUGGGGUGGAUCACAGACGGUUCAGGGCGAUUGGAAGUCGUGUUUAUGUUUUUUCUUCCUCAACUUUGCAAGAACAGUUAUUACGCGGUAUUCCCCAGGAAGCUUAAUAUAAAUGAGCUAUAUUUGUGGCAUGUGGAAUAGAUAAGGAUCACCUGACCUUCCCUAUAUGGAGAAAGCAGCUGAGCACAUUGUUGCACCACAGCUUAAGGCACUUUGAGAUUAUAGAAACUUUCCUGAUUCAUUCUCAUUUGCUUUUAGGCAAAGUUUUGAGACUGGGACUUCUCUAAUGGUUCCACCUAGUUGGAUGGCCACUCAAGCGUCACCAGAAGAGAGGACAAAAAAGGGAUGCUGAUUUGCAUAAAGGAUGCAUAUGCUAAAAUAUGUGUACAGUGGUACCUCGGGUUAAGUACUUAAUUUGUUCCGGAGGUCCGUUCUUAACCUGAAACUGUUCUUAACCUGAAGCACCGCUUUAGCUAAUGGGGCCUCCUGCUGCCGCCGCGCUGCCAGGGCAUGAUUUAUGUUCUCAUCCUGAAGCAAAGUUCUUAACCUGAAGCACUAUUUCUGGGUUAGCGGAGUCUGUAACCUGAAGCGUAUGUAACCUGAAGCAUAUGUAACCUGAGGUACCACUGUACACUGCUGAAAGGAAUCAUUCAAACAUAUAGCUGCACGUGAACACACACACAUGUACAGGUGAUAGUUAGAAAUGAUCACUCUAGAAUCAUAGAAUUAUAAAACUGCAGGCUAUAAUUUCAAUAGAGAGAGAGUACAGUGGAGAAUUUGGAGGCUGGUCUGUGGUCCCUGGAUCAGGCCCAUUCACCCUGCGAUGCCCCUGGGGACAACCUACCCCCACCCUGGAUCAGUUCCUGAAGAAAUUUGGUGGGUUAGGCGAAUGGUUUUUUUAAAAAACAACAACCUAGGUUUAAUAGUACAGUCAGUCAGUUCGAAUUCCCACAACAAGGUGAGCUCCCGUUGCUCUGUCCCAGCUCCUGAAAACCUAGCAGUUUGAAAGCACCAGUGCAAGUAGAUAAAUAGGUACCGCUGCAGCGGGAAGGUAAAUGGCAUUUCCAUGCACUUUGGUUUCCAUCAUGGUGUCCCAUUGUGCCAGAAGUGGUUUAGUCAUGCUGGGCACAUGACCCGGAAAGCUGUCUGUGGACAAACACCGGCUCCCUUGGCCUGAAAAGCGAGAUGAGCGCCGCAACACCAUAGCCGCCUUUGUCUGGACUUAACCGUCCAGGGCUCCUUUACCUUUUUUACCUUACAUACCAUCCUUUAUCAAAAGAUCCUAGGGUGGUGAUCUUGUUUGGUGCUGCACCAGGGAUAAUUUUAUAUUCCCCUGUAUCAAGCCUUCCCUUCCUUGUCCUUCCCUCCCCAAAAAACUAAGAAAUCCCCCACCAAAUAUCACAAAUGCAAAAUGACAUUUCCCUUAACCACCAUCCCAAUUACAGUGUCCUGCUUAGCGACUCUCAAUGUCGGCAGGAUGCAAAAUUAGACCAAUUUUAGUCACGUCGUCUGAUCCUAGUGCAUAUUUACUUGGAUGCAGUACAGUGGGGUUUGGAAUAGCCUAAGAAAAAUACUUGUCUAGUAAUGUAAUGAUGAGCACAGUGUGGUCCACAUCCAGACCACAUGCCUGUGGAAACGAUUGCAUGUCAAGUCUGCUAAAUUAACAGUGAAAUUGUUAACAUCAGGGAUGAGGGACCGGUGGCCUUCCAGGUGUUUUUGGACUCCAACUCUCAUCAGCCCCAGCCAGCACAGCCAAUGGGCAGGUCGCUGUCCAACAACAUCUGCAAGGCCCCACCGUUCCCCAUCCAAUUUAGCCACGUGUCAAACUCUCUACUAGAAUUUGACGUGGCUAAUUUGGAUGGGGAACGGUGGGGCCUUGCAGAUGUUGUUGGACAGUGACCUUAAGAAAGCAGACAGCAAAAUAUAAAAGUAUCAGCAGAAGAACAGCAAGAAGAAGAAAGGAAAAUGGCUGCAUGACCAGCCCUUUUACGGGGUCUCCAGGGUCACGCCCACCUAACUGGUCACACGCAGGGGGAGGAAGCUUCAGACCAGGUGUGACAGGAAGUCCUCCUGGCUGGGGUAACACCCCGCCCCCUGCAUGUCCACUCUAGGCAAACAGGAAGUGUUGUACUUAACUGCUUAUGUUACAUCCCACGGGAUCUUCAAUGACUGGUUCAUACAUGACAUGCUGUCAGGGAACUGACAUCGGAGCCAGAGGUGGAGGCUAGGCUCCCAAGUGAUGCUGGAGAAGGGCCCAGCAGGGAGAGAGGCAGCUCAUCAGCUGGGGAAGGAAAUCAGCGUAACACCAGGGAUAAAGGGGGGCAGAUGGGGGAAUCGGCGAGGGGGCUCCAGGACUCCUCGCCGGAGACCAGUGGGGAGAGCACGGGUCCUCCGCUACCCACACCCUCCCUGCGCAGAAGACUUCCGCGCAGGGAGAGUAGGAGGAGACUUGGCAUCAAACAGCUUUUAUGCUGGAAAAGGUUUAAGAGACGCCCACUGACAGAUUCUGCUAGCGACUGAAACAGCCACAAAGUGAAGGGCUGUCCAGACAGGAAAGGUUUAACCAGGCAACCUAGCCAGGAGUAGCGGCAACUUACGCACGAGCAACCCCUAUUAUUAUUACACAUGCAUAUACAAUACAUUACUUGAUGACAUAUUGCUCAGUGACACUUGGAUGAGCGUUCAAAUGGCUUUCAGUGAAAAGUGAAGCGGCUGAGGUGAUUUUAAGCGGAUAUGAAAACUGCAGGGUUUUUGGUCCAUAAUGGUCAUUCACACUUUGCCUUCAUGCUGAGAAGGUAACUCAACAGGUUUAUGUCUGACACCAGCUGGAAAAAAAUCAAGAAUCUACUGUCAUUCUUCUCUACUAUUUCCCAUAAGAAUCUGCCCCAUUUGGUAAACUCUACCAAAUUGGCCGGCUCCCUUGGCCAAUAAAGCGAGAUGAGCACCGCAACCCCAGAGUCAGCCAUGACUGGACCUAAUGGUCAGGGGUCCCUUUACCUUUGCCUUUACCACAAAUGUUUAGCCUGUCCAAAGCAGACUCACAACUUUCUAAAAAAAUGAAAUGAAAUGAAAAAUCACAUAUUUUCUGGUUUUGAAAAGCCCUCUUCAAGAGAAUGGAGUGCCACAUCGCUUUCGAUUUUGCCCUCCCAGGAACCUAGCAACAGAGGGUGCAAUAAAUAACAGGGCCGAGGAAACUCUUAAUGUUGAGCAAAAAGAAUUUGGGGGGAGGGGGAGAGCAUACACACAGAAUGAAGAAAAUGUACCAAAAAAAUUUAUUGCCGCUAAGCAUCUGUUUUUGUCUGCAUCCUUUUGAGAACAUAUUAACAGCCUUUGCUCAUCUCCAUAUGGCUCAUUGUGAGGAUAAUCAUUAAUAUGAAGGAAUGUGUUUGUAAGCCUCCUUCCCUAGUAAUGAGUAUGUAUGUUUGUUCUACCUCAGAAAAAUGGAAGGACUGGAUUUUGAUAAUGUGCUUACUGCAUGAUAAAUAGUUGCAGAAGGAGGGGUAUUUUUUAAAAAGAGUAGUCCUCAAAGACAGUAGCCCAGAGCCCAAUAUCUCAUAUAUUAUCUCUUUAUUUCAGGAUUUGGAUGACACCUUUCAGGGCAAGCACUCCCAAGGCAGUGAGCAUCAAAAUAAAAUCAUGGCAAAAUGCUAUGAAGCUCGUCACACGGCUACUGAAAAACCACUACCCAGACUGAAAUACAUCCAUACAGUAAAACAUUAAAACACCACAGAUCGCCACACAUUCCAAUUAAAAGCACCUUUAAAUAAGAUGGUCUUCAGAGUGUGUUUCCCAUCAUCCUUGGCCAUUGGCCCUGCUGUAUGGAGCUGAUGGGACUUGGAGUUCGGAGGACCCUCUGGUAUAGGUGUUGCAUUGACACACACACACACCAGUUUGGGGAGGACAAAUUGGGGCACCCACCAUCCUGCUGCUCCCAUCACUUGCCCCCUCACCAGCUCCUCUCUCGUCUACUUUCUUGCUUGCUCAUCGCUGCCUGCUCACUAGCCUCCUGGGCCCCUCUAUUGCUCCCUGCCUUGUAUCUUUGUCCAAAGCCUCUUCCUCCUCCUCUGUGGCCUUGGGAGAAGCCAUACCGGCCUGCACAGCCUCCUCUUUCGGUGCUGCAGGUGAACUUCCGGAAGCCAGCCAGCUUCCAGAAGCACCGUGAAAGGAAGGAGGAAGAAGAAGAGCGGUGAAGCCUCAGGCCAAGGCAGAAAUUGCUUCCCUUCCCCCAACCCCACCCCUCGCACUCUGGUGUGAGCCAACUGACAGCUAGAGCACGGGAGCCAAAAUGGGACAGUUGUGUGAUAUGCACACACGUGUGUGUGUGUGUGUGUGUGUGUGAGAGAGAGAGAGAGAGAGAGAGAGAGAGAGAGAGAGUGCUCGCAUAUGUGUUAUGACAGUAUUCACUGAUACAGAGUGUGAGCACCUAUUCUUUUGCUACUGGUAGGACACGGGUGGCGCUUUGGUCUAAACCACAGAGCCUCUUGGGCUUGCUGAUCAGAAGGUCGGUGGUUCGAAUCCCCGCAAUGGGGUGAGCUCCUGUUGCUCUGUCCCAGCUCCUGCCAACCUAGCAGUUCGAAAGCACACCAGUGCAAGUAGAUAAAUAGGUACUGCUGUGGCAAGAAGGCGUUUCUGUACACUCUGGUUUCCAUCUUGGUGUUCUGUUGUGCCAGAAGCAGUUUAGUCAUGCUGGCCACAAGACCCGGAAAGCUGUCUGCAGACAAACAUUGGCUCCCCCGGCCUGAAAGUGAGAUGAGCGCCACAACCUCAUAGUUGCCUUUGACUGGACUUAACUGUCCAGGGGUCCUUUACCUUUUACCUUUUGCUAUCCAUAACACCCAUUUUGUGCUGGCACCCAUAACACUUUUAUCAGUUUAGGAGUACUGGCUUCUCACUUUUAUUUUUAUUUUACAUAUAUUUCACUACCUGACCUCUGGGAGCAUCCGAGCAACUAUAUUCUGUACCAGCUAAAGUUUCUGAGCUGUUUCUAAUAGCUGCCCCACAUAGAACACUUUUAAUAGUCUGUGUGGAGUGCAUAAUACAAACACUUGUUCCUAACAGCCAUUUUUCAACAAAGGUAGAUGCUCCCCGUAUGCUUAAUAAAACCACUGUUUGAAACCCA